rnacentral:rRNA from 1 species
UUGGCUCAGGACGAACGCUGGCGGCGUGCUUAACACAUGCAAGUCGAACGGAAAGGCCCUGCUUUUGUGGGGUGCUCGAGUGGCGAACGGGUGAGUAACACGUGAGUAACCUGCCCUUGACUUUGGGAUAACUUCAGGAAACUGGGGCUAAUACCGGAUAGGAGCUCCUGCUGCAUGGUGGGGGUUGGAAAGUUUCGGCGGUUGGGGAUGGACUCGCGGCUUAUCAGCUUGUUGGUGGGGUAGUGGCUUACCAAGGCUUUGACGGGUAGCCGGCCUGAGAGGGUGACCGGCCACAUUGGGACUGAGAUACGGCCCAGACUCCUACGGGAGGCAGCAGUGGGGAAUAUUGCACAAUGGGCGGAAGCCUGAUGCAGCAACGCCGCGUGCGGGAUGACGGCCUUCGGGUUGUAAACCGCUUUCGCCUGUGACGAAGCGUGAGUGACGGUAAUGGGUAAAGAAGCACC